rnacentral:rRNA from 1 species
GAUGAACGCUGGCGGCGUGCCUAAUACAUGCAAGUCGAACGAAACUUCUUUAUCACCGAGUGCUUGCACUCACCGAUAAAGAGUUGAGUGGCGAACGGGUGAGUAACACGUGGGAAACCUGCCCAAAAGAGGGGGAUAACACUUGGAAACAGGUGCUAAUACCGCAUAACCAUAGUUACCGCAUGGUAACUAUGUAAAAGGUGGCUAUACUACCGCUUUUGGAUGGGCCCGCGGCGCAUUAGCUAGUUGGUAGGGUAAAGGCUUACCAAGGCAAUGAUGCGUAGCCGAAUUGAGAGGUUGAUCGGCCACAUUGGGACUGAGACACGGCCCAAACUCCUACGGGAGGCAGCAGUAGGGAAUCUUCCACAAUGGGCGAAAGCCUGAUGGAGCAACGCCGCGUGGGUGAAGAAGGUCUUCGGAUCGUCAAACCCUGUUGUUAGAGAAGAAAGUGCGUGAGAGUAACUGUUCACGUUUCGACGGUAUCUAACCAGAAAGCCACGGCUAACUACGUG